UCAGACGAUGCGUCAUGCAUAUCAAUAAGCGGAGGAAAAGAAACUAACAAGGAUUCCCUUAGUAACGGCGAGUGAAGCGGGAAGAGCUCAAAUUUGAAAUCUUCAAGGUUUUACCUUGACGAAUUGUAGUUUAAAGAAGUGUUUUCUGUUGAAGUUUUGGUAAAAGUUCUUUGGAAUAGGACAUCAUAGAAGGUGAGAAUCCCGUAUUUGACCAUUAUUUUCAGCUGUGUGAUACACUUUCAAAGAGUCGGAUUGUUUGGGAAUGCAGUCCAAAAUGGGUGGUAAAUUUCAUCUAAAGCUAAAUAUUGGCGAGAGACCGAUAGCGAACAAGUACCGUGAGGGAAAGAUGAAAAGAACUUUGAAAAGAGAGUUAAACAGUACGUGAAAUUGUCAAAAGGGAAGCGUUUGACACCAGUGUUGUUUUCUCGAAAAUCAAUUAAAAAGAGUUAGAUUUUGUUGUGUAUUGACCUUAACAGCUUGCAUUUCAAUUUUCUUGCUUUUUUUAAUGCACUUUUCGUUUAACAAGUCAACAUCAGUUUCUUUUGUUGUAAAAAGGUCAUUGGAAGGUGGCUUUCUUUUCGGAGAAAGUGUUUAUAGCCUUUGACUCCUGCAAUCGGAGAGACUGAGGUCUGCAGCGUAGAUCCUUCGGGGUUAGAUACAUUUGUGCUAAGUUAUAGCUUUUUAUAGACAACUUGUUGACUAUGAUUAGUCUUGUAGCUUACUCGCUUAUGCUAUUUUACCUACGCUUAGGAUGUUGAGUCGUAGAGCACGCAG
rnacentral:rRNA from 1 species